AUACGAAGGGUGCAAGCGUUACUCGGAAUCACUGGGCGUAAAGGAUGCGUAGGCUGGAUGUCAAGUUGGAAGUGAAAUCCUAUGGCUUAACCAUAGAACUGCUUCCAAAACUGGCAACCUAGAGUGAGGGAGAGGCAGAUGGAAUUAGUGGUGUAGGGGUAAAAUCCGUAGAUAUCACUAGGAAUACCGAUUGCGAAGGCGAUCUGCUAGAACUCUACUGACGCUAAGGCAUGAAAGCGUGGGGAGCAAACAGGAUUAGAAACCCCGGUAGUCC
rnacentral:rRNA from 1 species